AUGAAUUUAAGCUUCAUAUAUAAAGAUUUUAUCUUUUGUUAGAA
rnacentral:tRNA from 9 species